rnacentral:lncRNA from 1 species
CGGGGACUCGGUGCGGAGCCGGGGCGCCGAGUGUCUCCGUGUCCCUCUGCCCCAGCCGGCGGCCGCGAUGGUGGAGCUUGGCCUCUCGCUCUCUCCCGCCUCUCCAGCGACUGCUCUGCCGGCCGCGGAGGUCGGAUCGAGCGGUCAUUCAUUCAUUUGUUAAUUCGUUCACUUAUUCAGGGGAGAUCAUUGAACCCCUACGGAGUACCGGGUACUGGGCCGGGCGCUGAGGACGCGGGGCUGAGCAAAAGCAGCCGAGGCCCACCUUCGUGCCCCUUAAAACCCAGCGUGCGGGGCGGCAACGAGUACUGCUUUUCUGUUUUGCACUUAAAAUUUACAUUUUGCAUCCGUACUUUUUAUUUACUGUGCACCCUUACGGCAUGCUUUACGCACCCGUACCUGCACCUCCUAGCCUUGAGUGUAGACACCAGAUCCUGAGAUGGGCGAUUUUUCGAGAAUAAUUUUUACCCUAAGUGGAUUUUCGUGCCACGCAUGGACUUGGAACUACACACACGUAGUCCAAAACGUGAAAGUCAAAAUGCAGCUUUGCCAAGUGGCAGGGAGAAAGGAGAGCUGAGAAGAUGAGGAGAGGAAGGGCGCGCUCCAGGCUUUCCAGCCCGGGUGCGGUAGACGUAGCCCUGAAGGAUGAACCCAGGCUGGUAGUAGGGCGGCGGGAGGGCGGGGGGACCUGUCAGUCAAGUCCAAAGCAGAAACGCGGCGCCGGAUCCCAGUCAGAGGCCGGCUGGAACGCUUCCCACAGGCUCCUGGCGCUCCGGUCCCCACCAGGCGACCUUGAUCCUGGCGUGCUCAGCGGAGCCAGCGCAGCGUCGGGAGCUGGAGAGACGCGGGGCGCCGGCUGAGCGCUCCUGCCCUCUGCCUCUGGGCUAGCCUCUGGCCCGGCCUCCCGGCCUCCCCCAGGGUACGCUCUCCCCCAAGAGCGAACACCAGCUUUGGGAUCGCCAGCAGCCACGUCUCUGCUUCUAGAUCUCUUUUUUUUUUCUUUGAGACUUAGUUGAUAGCUGUUUAAGGAAUUAUGUGGAGGAAAUCUCACCUCCGACCCCCGCCCCCGUUGAGCACGGCCGGCCAGGGUCGCUGGGUGGGCCAGGAGGAAAGAAAGGGGCGGGGAAGAAGCAGCAAUUUUACUUUAAAUUAAAAUGACACAAAAAUAUUUUUUCAACUCAGAUCUUUCUGAGACAUCCCCAGAAAGCGUUGCAAGCUGUGAUUACACCUAAUGUGAGAGCAUGAACUAAUUUAAGAGGUGAGAGCUGCAUAAUGAGGCUGCCUCCCGUGUAGCAGCCAAGACUGGCAGCUCUGGCGGCGCGCUGGAGGGGACCGGGAGGGGCACCCUUGUAGAACCAGUCCCUGGCGCCCUGGGAUCUUCUCAGUGCCCUGGCGCUGUGUUGUCGGUCACUCCACAGAUAUUACAGGGUGCCUCCUGAAUGCCGGGUUGCAAUCAAGAGCAAGAGAUGGGGCGAGUGAAAGAGCCUGUUUUCAGGAGCUCAGCAUCAGGAUGACGAUUACCUAGAGGGAGGUGGUGGCCAGCCUCCCCCUCUUCUCUUCAUGCUGAGGCUCUGGUGGGCAGUGCCCAAGCCUGAACUGCCAUCUGUAUGCCAGUGGUUACCCAACUUGUAUUUUCAGUCUUAGCCUCUCUCUGGUCCAGACUUGUCAUUCUAAGGGCCCUUUUUCACUGACUCACAUUGUCUCCUCCCUCCCUGCCUUCCAAACUCAGCCUUUUCCUUUUUCCCUUUCCCACUGACAACAGCUGCACGACCCCCCCGCCCCCCCACGAGGUGAAAAUUCCCAAGAACCCCAUGUCUAACCUAACUCCCUCUCUAUGUCCUGUUGCUUGAGCCAUUCUCAUUAGGCUGCCUGUUCGGAGUUCAUUAUCUCCUAAUUUUUCAUCCAGGAAUUGAUGAAGAAUCACCUACUGCCUCUCCCACACACUGUUUAUUCUUUCAUUUGAUGAUAUCUGUUAAGUGCCCUGAGAUAUGUAACCUCCACUUCCCUCCCAUAUAAGUGAGAUUUCACGUUGAUUACUUCCUUGGCUUUCCUCAUCCCUUAUCCACAUAGCAUGUGUUCAAAAUAAUGAAUAUUAAUUUAAUGUUAAUAGAUAUGUGCUUUCCUGAAUUGUGAGGAUUAAAUGAAAUCAUGUAUAUAGGGAGGAAAAUCCAUUAGAAACCUCAAAAGCAGUUAUGUUUAUUUUUGCUAUUGUCACAUUGUUAGAGUCAGAAUUCUUUUAGCUGCAAGUGACAAAACCAACUCAAACUGGCUUAAGGACUUUAUUGGUUGAUGCAAAAAGCCUCGGGUUAGGUCUUGCCAUUUAAGGUAGGGCUGGAUCCAUCAAUCCGGGUUACCAGGAUCUGUUUUCUAGUUGUGGCUUCAUUUUCAGACAAGUUGUUUCCAUAUGAUAGCCUCAUAGAAGGUACUACCAGCUUAGUCCUAGCAAGAAAAAAGAGUACUUACUCUUCAAUAUUUGCAGCAGAAGUCCCAGGUCUGUUCUUAUGAGGGCAGUUUGAGUCACUUGCUCUUCUCUGAACGUGGAGAAGGCACUGUUUAGAUGAUGGAGGUUGGAUUCAGGUGCAUCCCCUGGAAUGGGGUUUGGCAUUAGCUUCACGUGGUCUAGAAUAAAGGGGUUCUCCAAAGGAAAAUUAGGGUAGGAAUGCUGAGUAAGCAGAACAAACAGAUGUCUACUUUAGUCCUUCCCAAAGGGUGAGCUGCAAUACAUUGCAGACUAUCAGAAUGGUGAUGAACACGGAUGCAGUAGCCAAGAAAAUAGAUGUGUGUUUGUCGUGGUCUUUUUCAGUCUUCAAGAUCUCAGUUAAACAUGAAGUCAACCACUCACUAUGAUGUUAUUUGAGGUUUAGCUUUGAAGUGGAAAUGUACCACAAAUAGUAGAGCCAGAUAAAUACAAAUAAAUAAUUUUAACAGUCCAUUCUAAAAGAUUUCUUUGGUAAUAUUCUGUUGGAAUUGAUUUCUAUCUUUUCAUUUGUUAGGUUCCUGGAAAGUGAAAAUUUCAUUUCUUUGUGGACAGGUACCUAAAAUGUCUCAUUAUUCAUCAAUUAAUGAAAAACAAAUGAAAAUUUGAGAGAGAUAUUCUGAAGAAUAAAAGGAUCAAGUUGGGUCAUUUCUAAAAUGUAAGAUUAUAAGGUUUAACUUGCUAAGACUUUUGAGGGGUUGAAUUAUUGGUAAAUUAUUAUAGAACCACUUAUCUGAGGCUUUUAAAAGUGAUGUGUUACAGAGAUUUAGGGAACUGCAAGAUUGCAGAUAAAGAAUUUAUACUGUCAACUGUUCUAUACUUUACCUUCUGCUUUAAAUGCGGCCUUAUAUUUUGAAGUCAAACAUUUAUUUUCUCUCACUGCGUUCUGAAUUUCCUACCACAGUGCAUUUUGAGAAAUGAAUAUAACAGCAGUCUUCAUAGAUGCCAUAUUCAUGGCAACUCUGUCCCCCGCCAACACCACACCCUGGAAAAAAACCAACUUUCUAUUGUUGGAAUGAGGUAACAUUUUCAGGAAAAGGGAACCAUUUUCUCACAGGAUAUAGAACAAAUUCAACCUUUUAUUAAAUCAAAAUGGAUUCUCUAAUGUUUAUACAUAUCAUAUAGGAUUUCAUCUCUUUCAAUCUUGGUUCAAAGGCCCAGACAGUACCAUUCCCUAGUAUUUAGUCCAUUUGCUCAUAAAGCAGAAGAGAAAAGCUACUUUGUUCCGAAGGGUGUUAGAUUUAGGAUUCCAAGGUUAUUUCAAAUUAAUGCCUGGAACUAGACUAUAAAAUGCAGGAAAGAUUCUAAGUUGUUCAAAGAUGAAAUAUCUUAACUUUCACCAAAAACUCUGUCUUCUGGGUAUUUUUUGUUUUUCUGCCUUUCCAGAUUUAUUUUAAAUACAACAUUUUUGCUGUUUACAUUUUUAAAAGUUACAUUUCAAAAUUGUUCAUAAUUGGACACUUUCAUAAAAUGUAGGCAAAUGCAGUUUUACUUUUUAAUGAAGGACAAGUCUGUUGAUAACAUUUUGAUUCUUAAAAUUUUUUUUAUCUUAUAAAAAUGAAACAAUGCAUUUAAAGUGUCUUCAGCUCUUAUGUUAAUACCAAAUUAUACAUUUUCUUAGCCCAUGUUCAGGAGAGACAAUAUAUCUUCCAAAUUAAGAGAAGCUGGCACCAUUUUUAAAACAAGGCCUUGAAUCUGCUGUGGUAUGUGCUGGUAGGAAUUUUGUAUGAAGCUGUUAUUGAAGUAGAUGACAUUAAGGUCAAAGGAAAAAAAAAACAGAAAAUAAUGUAAUCCUACAGAGCUGCUCUUAAGAUCUUGAGAGAAAAACCACGUAGGUAACAUCAAACACUAGUUGGAAUCUUUCCAAGAAGUAAUUAUCUGUGUGCUGUUUGUGGUGGUUGAUUAUGGGAACAAACCAAGGUUUAGCCAAUUCAGCAAACAUUUAUGGAGUGCCUGCAAUGUGCAUGUCACUGUUUUAAGGCCUGUGCCUACUGUAAAGGUGACCCACACAUGAUGCCUGCCUUGCAGGACUUGGAGUUCAGCGAUAAUAAGAGAUGCAUACCUGAAAAGCCUAUUUAAGACUCUUCCGGUUCUACAAAGAAGGCUUCUUGAAAGUGGUAGCUUUGAUUACUCUUUGGAUUUAUUUACAUUUAUCCUAUAAUCAGAAGGUAUACAAAACAGACUCACACAUAUAUAAAAUUAAUAGAUUAGAUAGCAUUUAAACAAAUAUUUCAGGUAGGUACUUCAAAUGCAUUUGACAUUUAUCAAAGAAAUGGUAAGUGCUGUCAUCCGUGGGUGGCUGGAUUAACAUGUGGGACUACUUAUCACCAAUUUUGUUAGGGAUCUUAGGGAAAUUCCUGGAUCUUAUAUUCACAAGCAAUUGUAUAAAUACUUCCCACAGCUCAGAGACCUAAUAGGAUGGGGUCUUAGAGAAACAUCUUUUGAGCCACAGACUUCUUUGUUACCAGAAGGAAAAUGAAAGAAGAAAUUUAAAUACCACUUGAAGAGAGCUGAUCGCCACCAACUGGCCUCUGGGUGGAUUUGGCCAAUGGAAGCACCUGUAGAGGGAAGAGAGUGAGGUUAGGAUAUUUCUUCCUGCUGUCUCCGUGCUUCCCUGCAGAGAGUGUGAAGAAAUGACCCUGAAAAGCCUCUGGCAGAGGAUUCUUCUUUCAGGAUGGUGUCGCCUCCUCAGCAGCCCAUCCUCCUCCCCUGGACUCAAGCUCUCAUUCCAGUAACACUCCUUCCUCCUUCUCCAUCUUCAGGGGGAGGUUUGCCAGUCGGUGCUGCCCAGUUCAUGAGUGCUGCUGCUGUCCUGCCCAAGUACCCAGCUUGCAGAGUGCCAGAGUUAGAGUCCCAGGGGUGUUCUCCACAGCUGCAUGCUUGAUCCAGGCCUAUCAGGUGAGUUGGCUCUUGGCUAGUGGUUUUUCUUCUCUUGCUGUACAAAAGUCCAGACAGUAAUGUCUUUUUUUCAUUUUUAUAGAUAUAUUCCAUUGAAAGUCCUCAUUCUCAAAUUUAAAACAAAGACUUUUUGUGUACCUCAAUAGCAAUGCACACACAGUUGGCUUCACAAACAUAUUGUACAUUUCUUUUUUUCAUAUUUAUUCAACAAAUGUAUAUUGACUACCCACCGUGUGACAGGUGUUAUUUGUUGACGGAACCAGGCAUCAUCAGCAAACAAAACUGACAAAGCUUCCUGCCCUCUGUGGAAGGCAUCUGAGGAAGAGACUGGAUUUUGUAGCAACAUGUUAUUCUCAUUAUAAACUUUAUCAUUGGAAUACUAAAGCCAAAUCAUCCCCCAUCUCCUUGAUCAGGAUACCCACUUAAUCUAGGCAGCUACACAAUUGUGAGAGCCUUUGUUUUUUUCUGCUGAAACAUCCUUAAAAAGAUACCUCACAACCCAAGAUUUGGCUUUUCUUAAAUACGAUUUUUAAUUUUUUUCAUUUCUAUCUAGAGAUUUAAUUGGAAAUGGAAAAUCAUCAAUUUUCCAAUUAAAUGUCUGUUCCAAUCAACAUUAUACCUUUUAGGUUGUCAUUGUCAUUUUUAAGUUUAAGCAACUUUAAGGAUUUUGAAUCUGGCUGCCUGUAAAUUAAAGGUGAAAGUAAUCA